rnacentral:lncRNA from 1 species
AGGAAUCAAAUAAGUUUACAGACUUUGUGCUUCUGGCCUAGCAUAAGAAAAUGUUACUAUAUAUAAAUCUCUUCUUCAAGAUCUUCACAUAGGAAGGUAAUUUUGAUAUCCAUUUGAAGAAAAAUAAGUUUAUUGAUGGAAGCUAAAAUAAGUAGGACUCGAUAAUAAUAAUAUGAGCUAUAGCUGAAUAGAUAUCGAAGAAGUCAAUAUAAUUUUUUUUGUCCAAAAUCUUGAGCAACAUGCCUUGCUUUAUUUUUUUUGAUGGUACCAUCAAUUCUUA